rnacentral:rRNA from 1 species
GACGAACGCUGGCGGCGUGCUUAACACAUGCAAGUCGAGCGAGACCCCGCUUUCGGGCGGGUGUUCUAGCGGCGAACGGGUGAGUAACACGUGGGCAACCUGCCCUCAGCUCUGGGAUAACUCCAAGAAAUUGGGGCUAAUACCGGAUAUGACCGCUGACCGCAUGGUCUGGUGGUGGAAAGAUUUAUCGGCUGGGGAUGGGCCCGCGGCCUGUCAGCUUGUUGGGGGGGUAGUGGCCUACAAAGGCGAAGACGGGUAGCCGGCCUGAGAGGGUGACCGGCCACACGGGGACUGUGACACGGCCCAGACUCCUACGGGAGGCAGCCGUGGGGAAUAGUGCGCAAUGGGCGAAAGGCUGACGCAGCGGCGCCGCGUGGGGGAUGACGGCCUUCGGGUUGUAAACCUCUUUCAGCAGGGACGAAGCGAAAGUGACGGUACCUGCAGAGGAAGCACCGGCCAACUACGUGCCAGCCGCCGCCGUAA